rfam:Ictidomys tridecemlineatus contig093300, whole genome shotgun sequence.
AUCACUUCUCGGCCUUUUGGCUGAGAUCAAGUGUAGUAUCUGUUCUUAUCAGCAUUCUGUAGUUUUCAUCGUAGAGGGCCUACAUGUAUUUUGAUAGACUGUUACCCAAGUGUUUUAUUUAUUAAUUUAUUUUGAGCCAAU